rnacentral:rRNA from 1 species
UGAACGCUGGCGGCAUGCCUAACACAUGCAAGUCGAACGGAAACGAUGGAAGCUUGCUUCCAGGCGUCGAGUGGCGGACGGGUGAGUAAUACAUAGGAAUCUGCCCAUGUAGUGGGGGACAACCUGGGGAAACCCAGGCUAAUACCGCAUGAGCCCUUCGGGGGAAAGCAGGGGAUCUUCGGACCUUGCGCUAUUGGAUGAGCCUAUGUCUGAUUAGCUUGUUGGUGGGGUAACGGCCUACCAAGGCGACGAUCAGUAGCUGGUCUGAGAGGACGAUCAGCCACACUGGGACUGAGACACGGCCCAGACUCCUACGGGAGGCAGCAGUGGGGAAUAUUGGACAAUGGGGGCAACCCUGAUCCAGCAAUGCCGCGUGUGUGAAGAAGGCCUGCGGGUUGUAAAGCACUUUCAGUGGGGAGGAAAAGCCUGAGGUUAAUAACCUUGGGUCUUGACGUUAUCCACAGAAGAAGCACCGGCUAACUCU